rfam:Triticum aestivum genome assembly, contig: Triticum_aestivum_CS42_TGACv1_scaffold_499345_6BL
CACAUACUCCCUCCAUCCUAAAAUUCUUGUCUUAAAUUUGUCCAAAUACGGAUGUAUCAAGUCAUGUUUUAUUAUUAGAUACAUCCAUAUCUAGACUAAUCUAACAUAAGAAUUUUGGGACGGAGUGAAUAUUUU